CAUAGGACUACCCAGAUUUUCUAUUUCUUCUUCUGUCAGUUUAUGUUUAGUUGAAUUGUGCAAGGAGUUUGUCCAUUUCAUCUAGAUUAUCGAAUUUAUUAGUGUAAAACUUUACACAGUAUCUUUUAAUUAAUUUUUAAAUCUAUGUAAUAUCUGUAAACUCUGUAGUGACGUCUCCUUUAUUUCAUUUCAGAUUUUGGUUAUUUAUGCCUUCUCCUACACAGAACCUGCUUCAGGAAGCUCAGUGAAGCUACCCCAGCUCCUAUCAGCUCACACGCCACACAGCCACUGUUUACUCUGGGAUCUUCCUGCCUCCCUGUUUUCUCCCUGGAAAUCUGAGCAACCGUCACCACAAUCAGGAUAAAGACUCCUUUCACACGCGAAGCACAGUGCAAAGCUUCAAGAUCCAUCACGAAAAGGCCGGCCCUGGAGGCCUCGUGGAUGAGUCGACCUGGUGGCUUCCAAGGCCGAAGUUGUAAUCCUACUGAUCCGACUCACAGAAUCCCAGAACCGGCAAAAACAGAACAAGAAGGAUCCUCAGAAAACAUCUGGCUCAACCCCUCGUGAUUCUGAUGGGCAACUGAGGGACAUCACAUUGAUUAUCGAUUAAACAGUGCAGGGAGAACGGGCGAAUGGCCGCUGACCUGACUCUCACUUGGAGCUUCACAGGGGCUCCGUGAUUCUCGGUUAAAGGUACACUGGACCCGGGUUUGAAUCCCUGCUCUGAACUUUUGGCUGAAUGAGAAUAAACAAGGGACCUCUGUCUUAUCACCUGGAGAGUGGGACCCACGCCAGCUCUCUCCUGGGUGUUUGAGUAAAGGAGAGCAGGCAGGGGUCUCGGGCGGCAUGCGGCUGGAGCUCCCUGCAAGGCAGUGGAUGCAUCGCUGGGCCAAAGGUUUCCUCGGGGUGAGGGGCCGGGCUCAGGGCAGGCUGGGUAUGGGCCAGCUCUGGGCCUCAGUUCCUCCAACUGAGACAUGACUCAUUUUUCAUGAAGAUACAGGAGGUUUGGGAAAAUGCUCCAGAGCAGAGAUCUGUGGAGCAGAGACAGGAGCACACACUGGGUUUGAGCCACAGCUCAGACAAUCACCAGCUGUGUGAUCUUGGCAGAGCACUUAACCUCACUGAAGCUAGCUUCCCAGGCAGAUAUGGCACCAGCCCUGAGGACCCCAGCUCAGGAUGCUGCCCCUGGGGUGCUCACGGGAGAUGCUGAGUGGAAACAGAUGGCAAGGAACAGUUACUGCCCAGUGUGGAGCAUGCAUGCAUACGGGAAGCCCAGGGGCUACAGAAACCAGCAGAGGGCUUCCUGGAGGAGGUGGCGUUGAAGUCAAGACCCAAAGGGUGAGGAGUGAGGAAUGGAGAGAAAGAGUUCCAAGCAGAAGGAACAGCAUGUGCAAAGGCCCAGAGGUGAACAAGCUUGUUCUCCAUAGCCUCUCAUACUGGCUUUAAAGCCAUCCCUCCCUCCAGUGGCCCUCCACCCCUUUCCAGGAGAGUCCCGGUUUUUAAAUAUCCCAGUCUAACGUGGAGGCUGUGGUUCUCUGAACUCAGGCAGUUGGUCAUCAGCAUCUCUAUUAAUUAGCUCGAGCUGCUAUAACGAAAUACCCAAGGCUGGGAGCUUAACCAACAGACAUUUAUUUCUCACAGUUCUGGAGGCUGGAAGUCCAGGAUCAAGGUGCCAGCCGAUUAGAUUCCUGGUGAGGACCCUCUUCCUGCCUUGUAGCCUGCCACCUCCUUGCUGUGUCCUCACACGGCAGAGACAGAGAGAGUGACCUGUCUUCCCCUUCUUAUAAAGCCACUAGUUCCAUCAUGAGGCCCCGUCCUCAGGCUGUCUAAUCCUAAUUACCUCCCAAAGGCCCAUCACACGAAGGUCCUAGGGCUUUAACAAAUGAAUUUGUGGAGACAGUUCAGUCCACACAGCGUCUGCCAGAGGGCCAAGGGAGAACAGGGGCACACGGAGCUGGAAGGACCCUCGUGGUUUUCUUCUGGAGGCUUCUCAGCCCCAUGAGGGCAGGCACUGUGUCUGUCUGGGGCCCAGAACCCUGCGUGGCACCUAGUGGGUGCUUGGGACAUCCAGCACACUCCUAUCAUUCGGAGAAGCGGAGGCUGAGCCGGGGCAAAGGACGUGUCCAGCAUCACACCAAAGGCUAAUGGCCAAGCUGGGACCUGGACUGGCCCUCACGCCAGGCAGCCCCCCAAUCUGGCACAGGAUGAGGUUUCAGGUCCCACAGGGCCCAAACGGGGUUGGAUCCAGAGGCAGUGAAGACCAGGGGGGUCAGCACUGCUGUCUCUUCCUUCAGCCUCAGCUUCAUCCUUGCAUUCGACAAUUGUUUAUCACAUACAUGCUAUGGGCCAGGACCGUUCUCGUGCUGGGGAUAUAGCAGCGAACACAACUGACAAGGUAUCUGAUUUCACAGAGCCUCUCCUAGUGGGGAGAGACAGACAAUAAACAGGAUUAAUAAUUAAAAUAGAUAGGAUGCCAGGUGAUGGCAAGCGCCAUGGAGAAAACAGAGCAGAGCAAGGGGGUGGGGGGCUCUUACAGACCGACGUGUCAGAAGCAUCUCUGAACAGGGGACGUGAAGGAGCGAGACCCGACAGAACACACAGUGCUUUUAAAACCUUCACGAAUUCUUUACUACUCUUCCCUCAAGAGAUGGAGCUUGAGCAUGGACUCAGCCUCCCUUUGAGUGUGGACUGGACUUGGUGACUCGCCUUUAACAAGUGGAAUGUGCCAGAAGUGAUGCCUCUGACUCCUGGGUAGGUUAUAAGAUACGUCGCUGUUUCCACCUCCCUCUCUCUCUUGGAUCACCUGCCCUGGGGAAAGCCAGCUGCCAUGUCAUGAGGAUGCUCAAGCAGCUCGGUGGGGAGGCCCAUCCAGGAACUAACCUCUCUGCUCCCAGCCAGGGAGGAACUGAGGCCUCCUGUCAACAGCCACAUAAGGGAGGCACAUGGGAAGUGGGCCCUCCAGCCCCAGUCAAGCCUCCACAUGAGGGCAGCCUCCUCAAAGAGCCUGAGCCAGACCCUGCCACUCCUGGGGUCUGACCCACAGAAACUAUGUGAUAAUGAAUGUUUGCUGCUUUAAGCCACUAAAUUUUGGGGUAAUUUGUUAUGUGGCAACAGAUAACAAACACAGAAGGGGAGGAGCCAACCAUAUGGAUACCUGGGGGGAGAGUGAUCUGAGCAAAGGGGACAGCAGGUGCAAAGGCCCUGCGCCUCCAUGCUGGGAGGGUGAGGAUUCCACCUGUGGCUCAGCGCUUGUCUCUUUGGUCCUCAAUUUAUUCAUGUGUCAAAAGACAUUAUCCGAUGAGAAAUUUGAUUAGAGAACUAGGAAGGCUCAGAGAGUAGGGCCUAGUGCCCAAUAGGUCCUCAGUAAAAUGGUCUGGAUGGAUAAAAGAUGAAAGGAUGGAAAGAAAAUUGGAAGAAAGAAGGAGAAAAGAUAGGAGGAAGGAUUGGAAGAAGAUG